GUGGGGAAUUUUGGACAAUGGGCGCAAGCCUGAUCCAGCAAUGCCGCGUGUGUGAAGAAGGCCUUCGGGUUGUAAAGCACUUUUGGCAGGAAAGAAAUAGCGCGUGCUAAUACCAUGCGCGAAUGACGGUACCUGCAGAAUAAGCACCGGCUAACUACGUGCCAGCAGCCGCGGUAAGACGUAGGGUGCAAGCGUUAAUCGGAAUUACUGGGCGUAAAGCGUGCGCAGGCGGUUUUGUAAGACAGGUGUGAAAUCCCCGGGCUCAACCUGGGAACUGCACUUGUGACUGCAAGGCUAGAGUGUGUCAGAGGGAGGUGGAAUUCCGCGUGUAGCAGUGAAAUGCGUAGAGAUGCGGAGGAACACCGAUGGCGAAGGCAGCCUCCUGGGAUAAAACUGACGCUCAGGCACGAAAGCGUGGGGAGCAAACAGGAUUAGAAACCCCUGUAGUCC
rnacentral:rRNA from 1 species